GUGAAGAACGUAGCGAAAUGCGAUAAGUAAUGUGAAUUGCAGAAUUCAGUGAAUCAUCGAAUCUUUGAACGCACCUUGCGCUCCUUGGUAUUCCGAGGAGCAUGCCUGUUUGAGUGUCAUUAAAUUCUCAACCUCAUCAGUUUUGUUAUGAAGCUGUGUGAGGCUUGGAUGUGGGGGUUUGUGCAGGCUGCCUCAGUGCGGUCUGCUCCCCUGAAAUGUAUUAGCGAGUUCCAACUGGGCUCCGUCUAUUGGUGUGAUAAUUAUCUACGCCGUGGAUUGGGCUUAGACUUGCUUCUAACCGUCCGCAAGGACAAUCUUUUGACAAUUUGACCUCAAAUCAGGUAGGACUACCCGCUGAACUUAAGCAUAUCAAUAAGCGGAGGA
rnacentral:misc_RNA from 1 species